UCUCCUGGAAACGGGUGGUAAUGCCGGAUGCUCCAGUUGAUCGCAUGGUCUUCUGGGAAAGCCUUUGCGGCAUGGGAUGGGGUCGCGUCCUAUCAGCUUGAUGGCGGGGUAACGGCCCACCAUGGCUUCGACGGGUAGCCGGCCUGAGAGGGCGACCGGCCACAUUGGGACUGAGAUACGGCCCAGACUCCUACGGGAGGCAGCAGUGGGGAAUAUUGCACAAUGGGCGCAAGCCUGAUGCAGCGACGCCGCGUGAGGGAUGGAGGCCUUCGGGUUGUAAACCUCUUUUGUUAGGGAGCAAGGCAUUUUGUGUUGAGUGUACCUUUCGAAUAAGCACCGGCUAACUACGUGCCAGCAGCCGCGGUAAUACGUAGGGUGCAAGCGUUAUCCGGAAUUAUUGGGCGUAAAGGGCUCGUAGGCGGUUCGUCGCGUCCGGUGUGAAAGUCCAUCGCUUAACGGUGGAUCCGCGCCGGGUACGGGCGGGCUUGAGUGCGGUAGGGGAGACUGGAAUUCCCGGUGUAACGGUGGAAUGUGUAGAUAUCGGGAAAAGAACACCA
rnacentral:rRNA from 1 species